CUGCUCUGCUGGAGUUUCACAAGAGAGCCCUGGAUAUGGACUGAAAGCCACAUUAUUUCUCUUAAACAUGGAUGUUCCCAGAAGAAAUACAGGAAUGGUAUGACAGCAUCCAGAAAAUGCAAACUGAGAAACUCAACUAGACAAGUAAAACUUCUGGCCAAAACUAAGUCAAUGGGUGAAUUUAACACUCCUCUGUGGCAGAAUGUAGCAAACUGUAAAAGCCUUGAAUCUGGGCAGAAGCUAAAGAGGACCUAUAGAUGAUGGCAAAGAUACCAGGCAGGGCCACCCAGAACCCUCUAAGAAGAACUGUGGCCACCAGUGAUUCCAGAGAGGCCUUCAGGGCACUGACCCAAUGCAACACUUGGUUCCUGAAAUCCACUCAGUGAGACAACCAAAGACAACCACAGAGAUCCAGACAAAUGCAGACAACACAAGCUAACUUGAGCAGUCAUUCAGAAAAUGAAAGGCUCAUGAUUUAUCUAAUGUGAUACUUCAUAUUUGAGUAAGGAAGACCUCCUCACUUUAAAAUAAAAGUAUUUUCAGGAUAGGAACAGGCUACAAGUUUCAGGAAAUUAUUGCCUCCAGCUGCAAGUAAUCAUCUUCCCAGCCUAUACCAGUAACUACAUGCACUCUUACAUCUCUGUUGCUCUGGCAAGUAAAGCAGGCUUUUGCAAAGCACUUUAAAAUGCUGACAGGUACUUAAAAUAGGAAUGUGGUUUAAAUGAACCAGUAUUAUUUGUACUAAAGUAGACUGUAAUGGAGUACAAUGCACACAUCCAGUUAUUAGGUUGCAGCUGAGAAAUUCUUACAUCACGCUAACAUAACUGCUUCUGAUCACCUGCCUAAAUCUCAAGACCAGCUAAGGAAACCAGUUCACCUCAAUUCAGGCUUUAAAAUAGAUUCUGCUUGGUUUGUGACUGAAGUGAUACUUUAUGAGUGGAAAUCUAAUGUGUAAGAACUACCAAGAAUCUUCACAACUCUCCUUUUUUGUAAUUUCCUCAACAGAAUACUUUGACAAGUGCUGAAUAAGAUACCUGUUUUUUUAUUCCUUGGCAUACAGAUCAGUAUCUUCUAUUACUGAAGUCUCAGACCCUAGUGAAUCAUGUAAGAUACACCCCUGUGAUCCUGCUGCUGCUGCUCCUACCAUCAGCUGAUGACAUCUGUGUGAGAGAGACAAGGAGUGCGUGAGAACAGCUUUUCUUGCACCAGCUGCCUGUGUUGUGUUGCUGCCACUGCUCCACCAACACCAGUUCCCCAUCCUCCCAGGGUUUGGGGAAGAAAGAUUACACUUCCAAUUUGCCAACACUGAUGGAAGACUGAGAACUCAAAGGUCACAGUCCUCUGAAGUCAGUGUAGCAGAGGUUAUUGAUAUUGUGCUUAGAAAGCCUGAGCUGAACUGGAUAACCCAAUUCAAAAAGAGAGAAAUGCAGCAAUAUCUACAUGACAAAUGCCUAAUGCUUUUUGUAACAAUUUGAGAAAUAUCUUUGCUAGAAGGGACAUCAUCAGAGAACAAUUUCAUACUAUGCUUUCUUCUGCUCUACAAACACAGUGUUGCAGCUGAUGGACCUUGUAAGUUCAGGCUGGUAACUGUGCUUGUGUGCAUUCUCACUGACCACUGAGAGGGUCUUUGCAAGAAGGAAUGCAUUUACUCACAGAUGCAGUCAGCAAAUCUAGACUAAAGACUGUAAUGUAUAUCCAGCUGAAGGUUUUUUACUUGCAGGAAAAAAUAUAUACAUGAUCUUAUAUAUGAUAAGCAAAUUUUCAGAUCAAAUAAAAUAAAUCAUUUUAAAAAAAUAAAGAAAACAUUUUCAUGAUGUAAAAAUACCUUGAUGCUUUAAGACCUUUGAGUCUUCUUUGUGGAUUCACAAAUGUUUUUUCUUAAUAGAUGUAUGAACUGUAUCUGAUGUGCUUCAAAAGCAGCACUUCUAUGUGAUAUGAAUAUGGCAAAAACAAAAACCCACAAAUCUUUCACCUAGAAUGGUGAAACUGUACCAAGUUUUGAGAGCUCUGAUUCUGUUUAAAAGAUGAAUAGGCUCUACCAUGCUUAAAUUGUAACAGUAAGUAUCUGAAUGUGCCUAAUGUCAGAAGAAACAAGUGACAGCCAGUGGUAAACUGGUCUUGAUUUCUAGAAAUCAAGACCAAUAAAUACAUGGUAAUCAUCUCACAUUUCUUUAUUUACACUACUUCAUUCCUCAUCUGUACUUCAGUGCACUAGAUACUACAUUUCAUUUAAGAACUGGUUCCUUUAAGUAGGAAUUUUAAUAGCAUUCUGGGGACACACUUUAUUAAUCAUUAAUAUACAUUUUUAUUACAUUGGAAUUAAAGCUGUUCUUAUACACUUUUCCCUCACUU